GAGUAAAGUCGUAACAAGGUUUCCGUAGGUGAACCUGCGGAAGGAUCAUUAACGAGUUUUGAAAAGCGAGCUUUGUUGCUGGCGUGGAGACGCGCAUGUGCACAAGCUUGACGCUCAAUCCAACUCAACCCCUGUGCACCUAUUGGAGUCAGUAGUCUUUUUCGACUGGCCCUCUUUGAGGACAGUCGGAGGGCGAGCACUUCAAACCCCUUGAAGUUAGUAGUUGGAUUCCAGGAAGAGGCUCGGCUUGUGUCGCUGUGUGCGGUGGAGGACGCCGCAUGCAAAAGCAUUUUGCCUUUGCCUUGAAAAGGGAGACCGGCGAGCGCUUUGAGUCUUACAAACCUGUAUAAGUCGUGUUAGAAUGUAAUGCUCCUUGUGGGCGAAAUAAAUACAACUUUCAACAACGGAUCUCUUGGCUCUCGCAUCGAUGAAGAACGCAGCGAAAUGCGAUAAGUAAUGUGAAUUGCAGAAUUCAGUGAAUCAUCGAAUCUUUGAACGCACCUUGCGCCCCUUGGUAUUCCGAAGGGCAUGCCUGUUUGAGUGUCAUUUAAAUCUCAAAACCCUUUGCUUUUCGAAGCGCUGGGUUUUGGACUUGGAGGUUUCUGCUGGCCCGCCUCUGGUGGUUUUGUCGGCUCCUCUCAAAUGCAUUAGCUGGACUUUGGUUCGCGUGAUCGGUGUGAUAGUUAACUCGAUUCGCCGCGCGCUUGCCUGAUGGGUCUGCUUCUAAUGGCCUUCGGGCAAGGCGAAAGCCUUCUAUAUAGACCCUUGACCUCAAAUCAGGUAGGACACCCAGUCCC
rnacentral:rRNA from 1 species